rnacentral:rRNA from 1 species
UACGAAGGGGGCUAGCGUUGCUCGGAAUCACUGGGCGUAAAGGGUGCGUAGGCGGCUCUUUAAGUCAGGGGUGAAAUCCUGGAGCUCAACUCCAGAACUGCCUUUGAUACUGAAGAUCUUGAGUUCGGGAGAGGUGAGUGGAACUGCGAGUGUAGAGGUGAAAUUCGUAGAUAUUCGCAAGAACACCAGUGGCGAAGGCGGCUCACUGGCCCGAAACUGACGCUGAGGCACGAAAGCGUGGGGAGCAAACAGG